AAGGAACACUUUAAUGGAAUUUUUAUUCAGGAAAUUGCCCAUCUUAUAUGACCUAUUGGUAAGAAUAACGGAACAAGUAUUUUCCAUC